rnacentral:lncRNA from 1 species
UGACCAAAUUUCUCUACAUGAUUUAUCACCAGUUUCCCAAGAAAGCGGUAGAUUGUCGUGUGCUUCAUGUUCGUAUUCAUCGCAAAGCAUGGUAAUUACCUGAUAAAUUACGUUGGGAAUGAAUUGGUUAAUAUUAAAAAAAUAAUUAUUAAUAUCAAACAGGAAGAUAUUGAAGGUGAGAUGAGGAGACUGAAAAUGGAGCUAAAGCAGACGAUGGAUUUGUAUAAUACAGCAUGCAAAGAAGCACUUACUGCAAACCACAAGGCAAUGUCUAUGGUGGAGCAAGAGAGACUUAAGUACAAGGCGGCAAUGGAAGCAGCAGAGGCAGCAAAAAGAUUAGCAGAGCUGGAAGCACAGAAAAGAACGAGUGCAGAAAAGAAAGCCCUUAAAGAAUGUGAAGAAAUGAAAAAGGUUCUGGAUACUUUAUCCAAUAAUAGCAUGAGGUACAGGAGAUAUACAAUUGAGGAGAUUGAAGCAGCCACCGAAGGCUUCUCUGAAUCUCGGAAGAUUGGAGAAGGCGGGUACGGUCUUGUCUAUAAAUGUUAUCUUGAUCAUAC